GAUGAACGCUGGCGGCGUGCCUAAUACAUGCAAGUCGAGCGAACAGACGAGGAGAUUGCUCCUCUGACGUUAGCGGCUGACGGGCGAGUAACACGUGGAUCACCUACCUAUAAGACUGGGAUAAUUUCGGGAAACAGGAGCUACUAACGGCUAAUAUAUCGAACCGCAUGGUUCAAUAGUGAAAGACGGCUUUGCUGUUACUUUUAGCUGGAUCCGCGCUGCAUUAGCUAGUUGGUAAGGUAACGCCUUACCAAGGCAACGAUGCGUAGCCGACCUGAGAGGGUGAUCGGCCACACUGGAACUGAGACACGGUCCAGACUCCUACGGGAGGCAGCAGUAGGGAAUCUUCCGCAAUGGGCGAAAGCCUGACGGAGCAACGCCGCGUGAGUGAUGAAGGUCUUCGGGUCGUAAAGCUCUUUUAUUAGGGAAGAACAAAUGUAUGAGUAACUAUGCACGUCUUGACGGUACCUAAUCAGAAAGCCACGGCUAACUACGUG
rnacentral:rRNA from 1 species